CAAGGUUUCCGUAGGUGAACCUGCGGAAGGAUCAUUACAGAGUUCAUGCCCUCACGGGUAGAUCUCCCACCCUUGUGAAUCUCACUAUCUGUUGCUUUGGCGGCUUGUGUUACAGCAACCGCCAGAGGACCCUAAAACUCUGAAUGUCAGUGUCGUCUGAGUACUAUAUAAUAGUUAAAACUUUCAACAACGGAUCUCUUGGUUCUGGCAUCGAUGAAGAACGCAGCGAAAUGCGAUAAGUAAUGUGAAUUGCAGAAUUCAGUGAAUCAUCGAAUCUUUGAACGCACAUUGCGCCCCUUGGUAUUCCGGGGGGCAUGCCUGUUCGAGCGUCAUUAAUACCAAUCUAGCCUGGCUAGGUGUUGGGCCUCGCCGUCUGGCGGGCCUUAAAAUCAGUGGCGGUGCCCCCAGGCUCUACGCGUAGUAAUUCUUCUCGCUAUAGGGUCCUGGAGGAUGCUGGCCAACAACCCCCAAAUUUUUCAGGUUGACCUCGGAUCAGGUAGGGAUACCC
rnacentral:sRNA from 1 species